AAUCAACGCUGGCGGCGUGCCUCAGACAUGCAAGUCGAACGAGAAAGUUUCCUUCGGGAGACGAGUACAGUGGCGCACGGGUGAGUAACACGUAAGUAAUCUGCCUUUGAGUGGGGAAUAACAGUCGGAACGAUUGCUAAUACCGCAUAACGCAGCGGCACCGCAAGGUGACAGUUGUUAAAGGAGCAAUCCGCUUAAAGAGGAGCUUGCGGCAGAUUAGCNGUUGGUAAGGUAACGGCUUACCAAGGCUACGAUCUGUAUCCGGUCUAAGAGGACGGUCGGACACACUGACACUGAAUAACGGGUCAGACUCCUAC
rnacentral:rRNA from 1 species